UUUUCGUGCAGUUAGCCAAGGGCAAUACUAAUUUCACUUACACAGCUUUGUAUAAGUUGAAAUCUUAUCCGGAUAUCAGUAGUCGUUUAACUCUGAACCUAUGAAGGUCAGAAUCCGCGCGUGAUUUCGAGAGGAUUUCCAGGGCCAUGAUUCGCAGACGUCUCCGCGAUUUGGAGCUAGGAUAUUCAAUACAACGUUCAUCUCCACGUAUAGACCAGCUUUACCGCCAUGAAUGAUCUCCCAGUCACCGUUCUGGAUAGGGAAUUAGAUGCUACUUUUGGCUAAGUUGUGGCCUUUUAUCACCAAGGAGUGUUGAAGGUCAUGAGGUUUGGUCUACCCGGUUUUCAGCAAAUUUGCUGGCCAGACACCAAUAUUGCGGCCAUUAGAAUCAGUUAGUUCGUACGAAGAUGACCCGUGCUUGGCCACAACAGUGCAAGGAUUCCGUUCAACCGACGACGGCGCCUACACCGAGAUUCGUCAUCGCUAAUACACACGUUUCGGAGUGCUAAUUCGUAAUCAAGUUCGCCCGCGGUAAGAUGAUCAACCCGCAGGUUGUGAUAGAGUGUCCCGAAAUCUGUACCCGAGACUGAA